ensembl:lncRNA
GUUUCUCAACAACUCCAGCUUGAAGAGGUGGAAACCUGAAAUCCUGAGGGUAUAAUGAAUAGUGUUGGUUUCUGCACUUGAAUGAAACUGCACAUUAAAUAUGUGCUUAACACACACAAAGACAGCGUUUUAGGUCAAAAAGACUUGGUCUCAACAAGCAUUUCAAGGGCUUGUGUGGUAUCUGAAAAAAAGAUGUUUUUCCACUCCAGCCUGGUCCUGCGGCGUCCACCUGUUCAUCAAUGCCAGCAAUCAGUGGGAGCUGUAUUUUAAGCAGCCACACCACGAGUCCAUGCCACGCUGAACUACUCUUCUCUUCCGUUAGCUGCUGAGCUCAGCUUAAGGUUGCUCACGCUUCUCUGGAUUCAUGCCGUCUUUACCUGCCUGUCCUCCUGCCCACCGGCUCUGGUUGCACCUGGAAAACAGUGUCCAUCACCUCAGAGACUUGCUGCCACUCUCAUAGUCGAACCAGGGCUCCUACAGUCACACCAUGUCACUGUAUAUUGUGUAUAUACACAGUAAAGUACAGAAAGCUAUUCUUGCCUUUGUAUUGUGUCUUGCAUUUGGGUCCAAGUUGUAUUGACACUUUUCAAC